UGUGGGGCUCAAACACAAGGACCCUGAGAUCAUGACCUGAGCCGAAAUCAAGUCGGACACUCAACUGACUGAACUACAAAGGCACCCCCAAAAAGCCGCAGGUUUAAUGGCAAAAGGAAAAAAAUUCGGGGGAAUAUGAUUGGGGAAGAGUCAUUUCUUAGUGCUGCCAAGGAUUAAUUCAGCCAAUACUGAACAUUAUUGUGCCAGGCAAAGAUCAGGCUAUAUUUCAAUCAAAGGUAAAUUAUAACAUUCUAAAACUUUUUUAAAACUUUCCCCAUUAGUUUGUACCUAAUAAAGGCUAAAAUUAAAAGGCAUAAGAGGCCCAAACAAAUAAGGUCUCAAUUUCUUGCAAUGAUCCCUGCACAGCACCUUCAACAUCUACAUCAGUGCACUGAAUACAUCUUUGGUUGAAACAUAAAAGACACCCAUGUGCAAAGUAUUUUCAAGAGUUUUGUUGGCUUUUUUUUAACUGGUAAGGAUGCACAUAGCAAAAAAAAGACUUCUCUAAAUCUCAGGUCCUUUUCUAAUUUCCUUCAGAACAAUAGCACAUUUUCAAUGCCAAAACUUCAGAUGCCAAAACUGAAUUCUCAUAAUGGAUCCUGCAACUAGUACUACCCAGAAGAUGGAGAUGAUAGUCUCUGGAGUUGGCCAGAACACAUGAGAAGGCACAGCUAAGAAGAGUGAGUGGACGGCCAAGACAAUGGCUAAGACCAAAUGAUUCCAUCAAUUCAGUGAACUUGUAUUUUCCAGACCCCUCAGCUAGGCACCCCUGAGAUCUGUAUGGAGGCCUGACAGGGCAGGUGCAUCAAAAGCUCACUCAAGAAUCAUGUGAGGCCAAGAGAUGAUUUUCUAACAUGGUAAUCUCUACACCCAGUGUGGGGCUCAAACUCACAACCCU